ACCUCCUCCUCCUCCCCUGGCUGGGCUGCAUGGAGCCGCACUUCACGGAAAACGAGGGAAUGAGGAAGAGACAGAUAAAGCAGCCACGCUGCUCCAGGAUUCUCUCAUUCUGCUGCGCUCAGCUGGGCUCAGUCUAUUCUUUUCCCUCCCUCUCUCCCUCUCUCAUCGAUUCUCUCCGUCCGAGCGACCGUCCGUCCGCCCGUCCGAGCACAACUACACUCGAUCUCUCCCGGCCGUCGUUCUCUUGUCCUCGCUCUCCUGUAGACAAACGCACACUCACAGACCGACAAGACUUCUCGUUCCUCUUCCUCCUUUCACAUCCCAGGCGAAGGCUGGGCUGUAUGCGGCGAGCAGGAGACACAGACGAAGCGGCAAGAAAUGAAAGCACAAAGCAGCAAAACGCAUCAGCAUGAAUAUUAGAGAUGUCGUUAAAAUCCGGACUCGUUUUUCUCUCUCUCUCUCCCUUGCUCACUCACUCUCUCUCACUCUCUCUCUCUCUUUAGCUCAUUGUGAAACAGGAGGUCCAGCAGAGGGUGCUAGUUGUUAUUACAUUAACUUUCAGAACUUAACCCCAAAAAUACUGAAUUUCAAUACUUGCUGAGCACGAAAUGAACAGCAGCAAGUGUUCGAAGGAAUGAGUACACCUGGAGAUGUUUUCAGCAGCUAAUCUGUGUCAAAACAGAUCAGUCAAGUACAAUAAAUCACAAUUACAAACACAUGCACACACACGCGUGAGAGCAGGUGGCAUAAGUUCAUGUGCUGCUAGAUCGAUUCACAGGAAGUGAAAAUAGAGACUCAAAGGGAAAUGAGGUCAUGCCCUCUCUUUCCCAAAGCGUGACACUGGUCGUGUGCAACUGUGCUCGUGCGUUGCAAAAAACUUGUGACCACAGAUACAUACAAAACACAAAUGAAAGCAAGAGUAGAGCUGUAACAUAAAAAAUAACUGACUUGAAAUGAGGAACAUUCAAUAUGAAAAGAAAUAUAGCAGGUAUGGAACCACCAGGACUGUAUCAGCGGUCUGAAAUCACUCAGAAAAGUGGGUCAGCUUUGGGUAAGAAUCUUACAGAGCAGCACACAGAUUAGCUGUGGCUAUAGACCGAGCCUUGAGACUGAAGUAAGCUCAACUUCUACAAGGUCAAAUGAAUGCAAGGUUGAACAAGAGUCCUGAAAGUCGUCUAAAAUCUAUCAUUUUCACUAGGUGGCACAUAGUGUGCAAGUGCUUUUCAAUUCUGUCAGUAUACUAGGCACAAUAAAACGUUUUGCACUUUAGAAAA